UGUAGUAAUUUCGGACGGGGGUUCAAAUCCCCCCAGCUCCACCA
rnacentral:tmRNA from 1 species